rnacentral:rRNA from 1 species
GACGAACGCUGGCGGCGUGCUUAACACAUGCAAGUCGAACGGAAAGGCCCUGCUUUUGUGGGGUGCUCGAGUGGCGAACGGGUGAGUAACACGUGAGUAACCUGCCCUUGACUUUGGGAUAACUUCAGGAAACUGGGGCUAAUACCGGAUAGGAGCUCCUGCUGCAUGGUGGGGGUUGGAAAGUUUCGGCGGUUGGGGAUGGACUCGCGGCUUAUCAGCUUGUUGGUGGGGUAGUGGCUUACCAAGGCUUUGACGGGUAGCCGGCCUGAGAGGGUGACCGGCCACAUUGGGACUGAGAUACGGCCCAGACUCCUACGGGAGGCAGAAGUGGGGAAUAUUGCACAAUGGGCGGAAGCCUGAUGCAGCAACGCCGCGUGCGAGAUGACGGCCUUCGGAUUGUAAACCGCUUUCGCCUGUGACGAAGCGUGAGUGACGGUAAUGGGUAAAGAAGCACCGGAUAACUACGUG